UUGUCCUGUGGCUCCCUCUGUCCUUCAUCAUAAGCUGGGACGCCACUCUCUCGUGAACGUGCGUAUGACAGCUAGCGGAAGCUAGAGAUUACAGUUUAUAAAGUUUUAAAUAUGGAUAUUUUUCUUACACAAACGCAUCGCUUCGCUUCAGAAGGCCUUUAUUAACCCCCCGGAGUCGUGUGGACUUCUUUUAUAACGGAUGGGUGCAUUUUUUCUGUCUUUAGAAUUUGACCCACCAUCUACUCCCAUUAUAAAGCAUGGAUUAGCCUGGACAUUUUUUUAUAUAACUCCGACUGUAUUCAUCUGAAAGAAGAAUCUCAUAUACACCUAGGAUGGCUUGAGGGUGAGUAAAUCAUGGGGUAAUUUUCAUUUUUGGGUGAACUAUCCCUUUAAAACAGCAGCUAAUAUAAAACUCUUACUGUCUGCAGUAUAUAGUAUGAAUACAGUGUAUAGUGUACAAAUGACAUGUUAGGAUGGGAUACUCAAAUCAAAUAACCAUUAUUAUUAAAAUUAACAUCUAUUAUUUAUAAAAGGCGGCAACUGAAAACACUCAGAUCUCAAAUGUGUGACUGAUCUAUAAGAGCACAAAAUCUCUUUCUGACCUCUAUAAUUAUUAAGAGUGGCAGAUUAAUUUAUAUGAUUUUAUUUCAGAUGUUUGUGUGACGAUGUUGUUUCAGAUCCUCCUUUGAGCAGCUGCAGUAUCAGUUCAGUCACUGUGACUCUGACUGACGGAGGUUUUUGUACGACUCUUUAUCACUGUGUGAACACAUAUUUACUGUGGUAACUCUGACAGUAAUAAUGUCCAGCAUCUUCAGUCUGGACUCCACUGAUGGUCAGAGUGAAAUCUGUCCCACCUUCUGCUCCAUUCCCACUGAAUCGACUUAAACUGCUAUCAUAAAGCACAUCUACAGAACGAAUGAUGAGUUUAGGAGCUUCUCCAUGUUUCUGCUGAUACCAAGCUAAACCCCAGCUAGCUAUCCCAGUAUCAGUUUUACACUCUAUAUUGGCGUUUUGUCCUUCAGAAACAGUCACAACUUCAGGCUGAGUCACAGUGAUUCCUCUGGAUGCUG